UGGACGCAAGUCUGAUGGAGCAACGCCGCGUGAGUGAAGAAGGGUUUCGGCUCGUAAAGCUCUGUUGGUAGUGAAGAAAGAUAGAGGUAGUAACUGGCCUUUAUUUGACGGUAAUUACUUAGAAAGUCACGGCUAACUACGUGCCAGCAGCCGCGGUAAUACGUAGGUGGCAAGCGUUGUCCGGAUUUAUUGGGCGUAAAGCGAGUGCAGGCGGUUCAAUAAGUCUGAUGUGAAAGCCUUCGGCUCAACCGGAGAAUUGCAUCAGAAACUGUUGAACUUGAGUGCAGAAGAGGAGAGUGGAACUCCAUGUGCAGCGGUGGAAUGCGUAGAUAUAUGGAAGAACACCAGUGGCGAAGGCGGCUCUCUGGUCUGCAACUGACGCUGAGGCUCGAAAGCAUGGGUAGCGAACAGGAUUAGAUACCCUGGUAGUCCAUGCCGUAAACGAUGAGUGCUAAGUGUUGGGAGGUUUCCGCCUCUCAGUGCUGCAGCUAACGCAUUAAGCACUCCGCCUGGGGAGUACGACCGCAAGGUUGAAACUCAAAGGAAUUGACGGGGGCCCGCACAAGCGGUGGAGCAUGUGGUUUAAUUCGAAGCAACGCGAAGAACCUUACCAGGUCUUGACAUCCAGUGCAA
rnacentral:rRNA from 1 species